AUUGAACGCUGGCGGCAGGCCUAACACAUGCAAGUCGAACGGUAACAGGAAGCAGCUUGCUGCUUCGCUGACGAGUGGCGGACGGGUGAGUAAUGUCUGGGAAGCUGCCUGAUGGAGGGGGAUAACUACUGGAAACGGUAGCUAAUACCGCAUAAUGUCGCAAGACCAAAGAGGGGGACCUUCGGGCCUCUUGCCAUCGGAUGUGCCCAGAUGGGAUUAGCUUGUUGGUGGGGUAACGGCUCACCAAGGCGACGAUCCCUAGCUGGUCUGAGAGGAUGACCAGCCAAACUGGAACUGAGACACGGUCCAGACUCCUACGGGAGGCAGCAGUGGGGAAUAUUGCACAAUGGGCGCAAGCCUGAUGCAGCCAUGCCGCGUGUAUGAAGAAGGCCUUCGGGUUGUAAAGUACUUUCAGCGGGGAGGAAGGGAGUAAAGUUAAUACCUUUGCUCAUUGACGUUACCCGCAGAAGAAGCACCGGCGAACUCCGU
rnacentral:rRNA from 1 species